CAGUAACACGUGGCCAAACUACCCUGUGGAUGGGAAUAAUCUCGGGAAACUGAGGCUAAUUCCCAAUAAUGCUCCACCCCUGGAAUGGGUGGAGCUGGAAACGCUACGGCGCCACAGGAUGUGGCUGCGGUCGAUUAGGUAGACGGUGGGGUAACGGCCCACCGUGCCAAUAAUCGGUACGGGUUGUGAGAGCAAGAGCCCGGAGACGGAAUCUGAGACAAGAUUCCGGGCCCUACGGGGCGCAGCAGGCGCGAAACCUUUACACUGUACGCAAGUGCGAUAAGGGGACUCCGAGUGUGAAGGCAUAGAGCCUUCACUUUUGUACACCGUAAGGUGGUGCACGAAUAAGGGCUGGGCAAGACCGGUGCCAGCCGCCGCGGUAAUACCGGCAGCCCGAGUGAUGGCCGAUAUUAUUGGGCCUAAAGCGUCCGUAGCUGGCCGGACAAGUCCGUUGGGAAAUCUGUCCGCUUAACGGGCAGGCGUCCAGCGGAAACUGUUCGGCUUGGGACCGGAAGACCUGAGGGGUACGUCCGGGGUAGGAGUGAAAUCCUGUAAUCCUGGACGGACCACCGGUGGCGAA
rnacentral:rRNA from 1 species